UUAAUUACUGUUCUAUUCCUUAAACGGAUAACUGCGGUAAUUCUGGAGCCAAUACGUGCACAAAGCCUAAUUCAGCAAUGAGUUGGGUGCAUUUAUCGGAGCAAAACCAAUCUUGGUAACAUGCUAACUCUGGAUAAAUACGCUUAUCGCACGACCUAGUGUCGGCGAAAUUACAUUCAUGUAUCUGCCUUAUCAACUAGUUUGCAGUGUAUUGGACUGCAAUGGUUUUGACGGGUAACGGAGAAUCAGGGUUCGACUCCGGAGAGGGAGCCUUAGAAACGGCUACCAUGUCUAAGGACAGCAGCAGGCGCGCAACUUAUCCACUGUUCACAGAACGAGAUAGUGACGAGAAAUAACGAGGUCGUGCUCUCUGAGCUCGACCAUUGGAAUGGAUGGAAUGUAAACGAUUCCAUGAGUAUCAAUGACAGGGCAAGUCUGGUGCCAGCAGCCGCGGUAAUUCCAGCUGUCAUAAUGUAUAGAAUUAUUGUUGCGGUUAAAAAGUUCGUAGUUGGAUUUUCUACUGGCAAGGGUAGUGUUGAAAAAUGCUCACUCAUGUCAGUAUUUUGUGUGUUGGUCUAGCUUGCUAGGCGUUCACACGGAUUACUUUGAACGGCUUAAGUGCUCAAGGCGAGUCUUCUGACUGAAUACCGGUGCAUGGAAUAAUGGAACAAGGUUUCGGCCGAGUUUUAUUGGUUUUGUCGGCUAAAACAAUGGUUAACAGGAACAGCUGGGGGCACUCGUAUCGCUGCGCGAGAGGUGAAAUUCGUGGACCGCAGCGAGACGCCCGAAAGCGAAAGCAUUUGCCAAGAUUGUUUUCAUUAAUCAAGAACGAAAGCAAGAGGUUCGAAGGCGAUUAGAUACCGCCCUAGUUCUUGCCGUUAACGAUGCCAACUAUCAAUCAA
rnacentral:rRNA from 1 species